rnacentral:rRNA from 1 species
AUGCACGCUGGCGGCGUGCCUAAUCCCUGCAAGUCGCGCGCACAGACGAGGAGCUUGCUCCUCUGACGUUAGCGGCGGACGGGUGAGUAACACGUGGAUAACCUACCUAUAAGACUGGGAUAACUUCGGGAAACCGGAGCUAAUACCGGAUAAUAUAUUGAACCGCAUGGUUCAAUAGUGAAAGACGGUUUUGCUGUCACUUAUAGAUGGAUCCGCGCCGCAUUAGCUAGUUGGUAAGGUAACGGCUUACCAAGGCAACGAUGCGUAGCCGACCUGAGAGGGUGAUCGGCCACACUGGAACUGAGACACGGUCCAGACUCCUACGGGAGGCAGCAGUAGGGAAUCUUCCGCAAUGGGCGAAAGCCUGACGGAGCAACGCCGCGUGAGUGAUGAAGGUCUUCGGAUCGUAAAACUCUGUUAUUAGGGAAGAACAAAUGUGUAAGUAACUAUGCACGUCUUGACGGUACCUAAUCAGAAAGCCACGGCUAACUACGUG